AGAAACUUCAGAGUUCAGUAGUCCGUUCAUCUCCCAACUGCCCACACAGCAGUAGCCUAUCUCAGUGGACAGGACAGCGAUGGAAAUUCAGGUUAUACUCAGUGUAGCGCUGGCGCUUUUGUCAACAAAGGCGGAUAAGUGUAUUGAGGACCAACAGUGCUCACACUGCUCACGUUCAACACAACACUGCAGUACAGAUUGUUUUUCUG